AGCGAACGCUGGCGGCAGGCUUAACACAUGCAAGUCGAACGGGCACUUCGGUGCUAGUGGCAGACGGGUGAGUAACGCGUGGGAACGUGCCUUUCGGUUCGGAAUAAUCCAGGGAAACUUGGACUAAUACCGGAUACGCCCUUCGGGGAAGAUUAUCGCCGAAGAUCGGCCCGCGUCUGAUUAGCUAGUUGGUGAGGUAAAGGCUCACCAAGGCGACGAUCAGUAGCUGGUCUGAGAGGAUGAUCAGCCACACUGGGACUGAGACACGGCCCAGACUCCUACGGGAGGCAGCAGUGGGGGAAUAUUGGACAAUGGGGCGAAAGCCUGAUCCAGCCAUGCCGCGUGAGUGAUGAAGGCCUUAGGGUUGUAAGCUCUUUGUCCGGGAAGAUAAUGACUGUACCGGAAGAAUAAGCCCCGGCUAACUUCGUGCCAGCAGCCGCGGUAAU
rnacentral:rRNA from 1 species